UUAAAGAAAGCGUAAUAGCUCACUGGUCGAGUCGGCCUGCGCGGAAGAUGUAACGGGGCUAAGUAGUAAACCGAAGCUGCGGCAAUGUGCUUUUGCACAUUGGGUAGGGGAGCGUUCUGUAAGCGGUUGAAGGUGUGUGGUAACGCAUGCUGGACGUAUCAGAAGUGCGAAUGCUGACAUGAGUAACGAUAAAGGGGGUGAAAAACCUCCUCGCCGGAAGACCAAGGGUUCCUGUCCAACGUUAAUCGGGGCAGGGUAAGUCGACCCCUAAGGCGAGGCCGAAAGGCGUAGUCGAUGGGAAACGGGUUAAUAUUCCCGUACUUCUUACAAUUGCGAUGGGGGGACGGAGAAGGCUAGGUGGGCCUGGCGACGGUUGUCCAGGUUCAAGUGCGUAGGCUUAAGAGUUAGGUAAAUCCGGCUCUUUUUAAGGCUGAGACACGACGUCGAGCACCUACGGGUGUGAAGUCAUUGAUGCCAUGCUUCCAGGAAAAGCCUCUAAGCUUCAGAUUGUAAGGAAUCGUACCCCAAACCGACACAGGUGGUCGGGUAGAGAAUACCAAGGCGCUUGAGAGAACUCGGGUGAAGGAACUAGGCAAAAUGGUACCGUAACUUCGGGAGAAGGUACGCUCUUGAUGGUGAAGUCCCUCGCGGAUGGAGCUGACGAGAGUCGCAGAUACCAGGUGGCUGCAACUGUUUAUUAAAAACACAGCACUGUGCAAAAUCGUAAGAUGACGUAUACGGUGUGACGCCUGCCCGGUGCCGGAAGGUUAAUUGAUGGGGUUAGACUUCGGUCGAAGCUCUUGAUCGAAGCCCCGGUAAACGGCGGCCGUAACUAUAACGGUCCUAAGGUAGCGAAAUUCCUUGUCGGGUAAGUUCCGACCUGCACGAAUGGCGUAAUGAUGGCCACGCUGUCUCCACCCGAGACUCAGUGAAAUUGAAAUCGCUGUGAAGAUGCAGUGUACCCGCGGCUAGACGGAAAGACCCCGUGAACCUUUACUACAGCUUGGCACUGAACAUUGACCCUACAUGUGUAGGAUAGGUGGGAGGCUUUGAAGCACGUACGCCAGUAUGUGUGGAGCCGUCCUUGAAAUACCACCCUUGUAGUGUUGAUGUUCUAACGUCGACCCCUUAUCGGGGUUGCGGACAGUGCCUGGUGGGUAGUUUGACUGGGGCGGUCUCCUCCCAAAGAGUAACGGAGGAGCACGAAGGUGGGCUAAUCACGGUUGGACAUCGUGAGGUUAGUGCAAUGGCAUAAGCCCGCUUGACUGCGAGAAUGACAAUUCGAGCAGGUGCGAAAGCAGGUCAUAGUGAUCCGGUGGUUCUGAAUGGAAGGGCCAUCGCUCAACGGAUAAAAGGUACUCCGGGGAUAACAGGCUGAUACCGCCCAAGAGUUCAUAUCGACGGCGGUGUUUGGCACCUCGAUGUCGGCUCAUCACAUCCUGGGGCUGAAGUCGGUCCCAAGGGUAUGGCUGUUCGCCAUUUAAAGUGGUACGCGAGCUGGGUUUAGAACGUCGUGAGACAGUUCGGUCCCUAUCUGCCGUGGGCGUUGGAAGAUUGAAGGGGGCUGCUCCUAGUACGAGAGGACCGGAGUGGACGAACCUCUGGUGUUCGGGUUGUGUCGCCAGACGCAUUGCCCGGUAGCUAAGUUCGGAAUCGAUAACCGCUGAAAGCAUCUAAGCGGGAAGCGAGCCCUGAGAUGAGUCUUCCCUGAUACUUUAAGUAUCCUAAAGGGUUGUCGGAGACUACGACGUUGAUAGGUCAGGUGUGUAAGUGCUGUGAGGCAUUGAGCUAACUGAUACUAAUUGCCCGUGAGGCUUAACCAUACAACACCCAAGGGGUUU
rnacentral:rRNA from 1 species